CUGGUCAUGUGACUCAGUUUCAAACAGACUCAGCUACUUCCUCAUCUGACACAUUUACUGUUGUGUAGUGAAGCAGUUCGUAUGUGCAGCUGAUAAUUCAGGUGACAUAAAGAGGAACAGAUCUCUGCUCGCUCGCCUCUAAACAAGUAAACAUCAGGUUGAUUCAAUGCAUCCAGCAAGUUGUUCAGCAGGAAAACUUCAUCCUCACCUGCUUGUUCAUGGUUCCUGAGAACAGCUGACAGACAAAACAUCUCACAAGAACAGGGAGAAGAUGAUCUGGAUCCUGCUGCUCCUCGUUCUGGCCUCCUCUGUCUGUGGUUAGUUUGAUGUUUAAGGCUCAGUACAGAUCCUGAAAAGAUGGUGCUGGAGACCUCUGAACAUUUUGUCUUGAAUGUGACUCAGACGCCUCAUGGAGGGACCAGCCAUGUGUUCCUCACCACACCCAAGAUAACUGAAGGUAAGCAACAUGGUGAGCUGUUACCAUGGUAACUCAUAUACAAAUAAUUUGAUGCACAAAUCUGAUUUCAAGGCUACAAAUGUAUUUUAUUUGCUACUUGGCCAUUCAGAUGUAUCACAUAAACCACUGCACCACAUGGCUAACGUGGUAAUAAUAAUAAUACAACAACAUGUGACAACAUGUUGACAAAAAAUCAGUAUAUUUACUGUGAAGAAUUUACUGUUCCAUGCCAUUUUCACAUCUUUGUAAACUGGUUUUAACAUCGACAUGAACUGAAACUGUCAAGAAGGACAAACAAUGAAUGAGAUUAAACUACAACAUUGAUCAGGCUGAUUAGUUAAAGGGGACAUAUCAUGCUUUUAAAUGAUUUUCUGUCUAUUUUUAUAGUAUUAUAAUGUUGGAUAUCUAUGUUAAACAUGGUCAAAGUUCCAAAACUUGCACAUAUGUAAAAAUGUUGCCUUCAAGACAAAAGUCAGAGCUUCAACCUGCUCUGGACGCUCUGAUUGCAACGUUACCUCUACUUCCCCACCAAACUGACAUCAGGUUGUUCACACAUAUGAGCUAAAACUGCCUGAACUGAGGAGUCAGUAUAAGAUAAAUAAUGAGUUUUUUGAUCUAUAAGUCAUGCAAAUAUAAUAUAUUCCAGUGGAGCCCCAGAAUAAAAACAUAGACCUGUAAAUGUGCAAAUGUUCCCUUUAACUAACAUCUAUUUAUUUAGAGGGAAAAAAAUGAGUUUCACAUUUUGCUUUCUCUGUUUUUCUCUGAAGAAGAAGAAGAAACUUUUGUAUAACAUUAAUGAAGCACAAAAUUAUUGUUAUAAGAAUGCAGUAAUGAUGUGUAUUUGUACCUGUUUUAUUGUGUCUAUUUCAUAUUUAAUACAUAAGCUAAAUAUAUUAUAAUUCUGAAAUCAAAUGAAAGCAGCAGCAGCCUGGAGGAGAAGACAAACACAUUCAUUUAAAGUUCAAACUUUAAAAAAAUGAGUUAAUUGCAAUAAUUUGUUGAAAUCUUUGAACAACUUUUUCAAUUGUCCAUAGAAAUGUUUUAAUUCUUCUGCAAAGCACUUUUAACUCUAUGAAGCACUUUCUAACUUCAACAUAAAAUGUGACUGUUAUUUUCUACAAUGUUAAAGUAAAGCUUGACAUGUUUAUACUGUGUAAAAUGACUGUGACUGUAGGAACAUGGAGGGAUUGUAUUUUCUAUUUUUUGUACUUUUGAUAUCUUCAGCUGUGUGUUUGCAGCAGUUUUGAGGAUCUGAUUUCUCUUUAUUUUCAACAUAUGAUCUCUGAAUGUUUAAUUAUGUCAUGAAUCACUCAUUAAAUGUGUUCAGUCCA